rnacentral:piRNA from 1 species
UGCCCUUUUGCGUUUCUCUGAAGUAGAGUGU